UAAGUAAAAGUUAUGUGUCAUUGUUAUACACAAUUAUGUGUUAGUGUUAUACACAGUUAUUUAUCAUUUUCUAUUAAUUCAGUUGUAGCCACUACAAUAUCUAUGACACUGGUAGUAAUUAUAAGAACAAUAAUGAUGUUCUAUAAGAGGAAAUGAUGAUUAGGAACAAAAACUUACAGAAGAUAUCAUGCGGUGGAUGGAUAAUAUGCAAAAAAUAUUAAGCAGUAUAUGAAUUUUCCUAUUGCGUAGAGAUAACAAAAUGAAUUUUAAAAAAUGUCGACACGGUAAUAAGAAAUAGCAUCAUGACAAAGAAUAUAUAAAGACAGUUUCAUUUUUUAUAAAUAAAAAUUUGUUGUUCCAGAUUUUGAAA